UAUGGAUCUGUGAUGUUAUUAUUAAACUGCGUUAUCUAUCUGAAACUUCCUAAGGGAAUUGAAGAUAACUAUAAUUUGCUGAGAUCCCUU
rfam:Lupinus angustifolius cultivar Tanjil chromosome LG11, whole genome shotgun sequence.